rnacentral:rRNA from 1 species
CUCGUAGGCGGUCUGUUGCGUCCGCUGUGAAAACCCGGGGCUUAACCCUUGGCUUGCAGUGGAUACGGACAGACUAGAGGUAGGUAGGGGAGAAUGGAAUUCCCGGUGUAGCGGUGAAAUGCGCAGAUAUCGGGAGGAACACCGGUGGCGAAGGCGGUUCUCUGGGCCUUACCUGACGCUGAGGAGCGAAAGCGUGGGGAGCGAAACA